AGAGAGUGGCUAAAAAAAUCUGCUGGACUGGGAGUGUUCACAUUACGUAACAGCGCCUCAUGUGGCCAUGUUAGGAUGUGCAAAACUGAGUAGGGAAAAUGAAACACACAUGUAGCAUAGAAAAAAAAAACACUUAGGAUGUUGGAUUUCUGUGUUUCUUCUGGACUUCGGAAGCAUCACUGCUGAAAAAAAUAUGCUUUGGUGGAAUAGUUGGGUGCACUACCACUAACAACCACUAGUGGCUGCUGCAAAAGCCUCUCUACCACUGCAAAUCACAGCUGCACAUUUUGUAAAACAAGUGGGUUAAUUAAUUAAGGCCAAUAUGGGUGUGUUUUAAACCUGUACUAAUUCUUGUGACCAGCAGGGGGCAACGCUUGAUUGUAAACUGAUGUUUCCUCUGUAAAUCUUUUUUGUAAUGGUUUCAUAAUUAAAAUAGUCUUCCCCAAUGAAUCAUCAGGUUAUUUUUGUCAAUGAUGGCCUCAUUCAGAGUAAAAACGACUUGAAAUUAUACUUUUAGACUUAAUUGUAACUAUAGGAGCAAAGAGUGUUUCGAAUUGUUAAUAAUUUGAGCAAACAUGAUGCCUCAAACCAAAAAAGAGACUUAAUGGUCCACUCUAUACAGCCCUCAUUAUUUCACACAUCUUUAAAAAUACACAAUUUUAAUUAAAAUUGUAAAACUUUGUUCUAGACAGCAAAUUGAACAUUUUGUCAACAUAAAUAAAGAGGAUGGGAAAAAUACCCUGUGUUACCUUAAAUGGCAGCCAUCUGAGACCCAGCUGAAAUCUUUCCUUGCAGUUUCUUUCCACCAGGCUGUCAUCUUUUUUUUUCUUCUUUUUUUAAUGGGGGUUGGGGGGGUUGAAAAUGUGUUUCUCGGCUCUGUAAGAUUUAAAGAUUACAGUAAACCAAAAAAUCCCUAAAUGUCAGGGUCAGAGUUGUCAUCACUGAGACUUUGUGCAUGUUCAUGUAUCUGCAGAUAAAAAUAAUCUCACCAUGCAGACAGACAGAGAGUUUAAUCUGGUAGGAAAACUGCAGAAUUUACAUGAGUAAAAUCCGCAUCCUACUUCUUUUCCUGCAGCUUGAGUUUAACGUAAAGUGCAGCGGCAUCUGACAUCGGCAUGAAUGUUACACAAAAACAGCCUCUACGAGUCUAAAUAAUGAAGAAACACAACAAUACAGUCAAAAAAGACUCUCAUGCUCUUUAAAAGCACUGCUUCAUCCACCCUGCGUCCAUCUCUCUGCUACAUUGCCACCAUUUUUGUUUGUGUUUCUUCUCUGUUGCCUCUCACUUACAUCACCCUCCUCCUCCUCCUGAUCGGCCUCCUGAAUCAUAAAAAUCCUCUCUUAUUUAUCCUCUUUAGGAAUGCAGGACUGUCCAUCACUCUGGUCAUGUGAAUAUCCUAAAACAUCCUUGAUUUAUCCAGCUUUAGCUCAAGAAAAGCAGCUUCUGAAAUGCUGCAGAAAAAGGAGAUAAAUGCAGUAUAGAAUGAUAUAUAUAGAUAUAUAAAAUACUGAAAAGAUGAAUUCAGGUUUGUAAGAAAGAAAAGAGAGAAUCAAAUGUGCUACUUUGAGUCAGGACAAUCUGUCACAAGCAGCUUUGUAGAAAAAUAUUUCACUUCAUAUAAAUGUAGACAAUCUGCACUAAAGGAAAAGAGAGGAGACAGAGACGAAAAUCUUUGUUCUCUUUUCUGUCAGACAGGCUGAACCUGUCUUUGUCUGUUUUCCUUCAGCACCACAAGAUGUUGACCUACCAAACUGAACACUUACAAAAACAGUUUUAUUUUGGUUUUAGGACAUACAAAGACCGCAAAUAAUCCAAAUUAUAUGGAGGUCCUUAGGGUAAAAUGCACAAAAAUCAAACUGAUAGCCAACAUUUCAAAAAUAUUUCACAAAAUACCAAAAAAAUUAAAAAAAAAAAAAUCCCCAAAAUGAAGAAAUUAUUCAUGUAGACCUGAAACAUGGUAAAAAGCAAAAAAACAUACAAAAAACAAAAUUUUAUUGUAAAAUAAACUAACAAAAAAAACCCUUAAUUUGUAAAUUCCUUUAAUUUUUGAGAUAUUUUUGCAUUAUAUGUACAUAUUUUUAUUGUAUUUAUUAAAUUUUUCGCUGUUUUUCACAUUUUGUGAUUUUUCUUUGAUAUACAUUUUUGUGGCAUUUUUGUAUUUUAAUAUUUGUGCUUCGUGAAAUUGAUGUGCAUCCAGUAAUUUUUUUUCCCCAUUCAAACUCCAGGGCCACCAUAUCAUUGAGUUUAAAUAAAAGAAUAAUUUAAAAUAGAAUAAACAGGGAUGUUUCUUUUUUAACUUAUAAAAUUCUGUAACUCAAACUCUUAGUUCUGGUCCGAGAAAUUCUUUAGGUUGUGUUUAUAACUCUAACACUGAUUCUGCCUAUAACAGUUUCACUGACAGGAGUCAUCAUGAGUGCAGGUGUAAAGCCCUCAUAUGUGACUUCAGUAAACUGUAUAUUCAAGGCAGAGCUGUGUAGGAGAGUGUGUUCAUGCAGCAGAGCAGGAAAUCUCCUGACUUACUCACCACUUACUAAUGCAUUUUCCUCAAACACAUGCAGGAUUUAGUAUUGAUUGAGGAUGUAUAGAAGCUCUGCUGGGAAACAGGCUGCAGUCUAUACAUUCUAUAUAAUGUAAUGUAGCAGCUUGUGUACAUGGAGAGCAUAACCACAUCCAGAAACUCUAAAGGCUGAACCUCAUGUAAGAUCUUUUGGUAAGUGAAUAUCAUGUUUCUGGCUGCAGGUCAUUGAAACUGGUUCAAAAUGCCUCAAAACAGUAUAUAUUGAAUUCUAGAUAUUGUAGGUGUCUUGUGUAGAAUAUGGUUUGUAAAGCAUAUCUAUAGUAUGUAAGACUAAAGUGUAAAUAAAGACGAAAACGGGAUAAAUGCACACAAAGGCUAAAGUAAACUAAAAAAAUUCAAUUUAUUUUAAGCUUAAAGCUCCUGUGAGGAGUUUUUAGCUGUUAAUGAAGCUUUUAAUCCCUAACCUGGAAUUAAAACAGAGAUCUUUUCAGUUCCUACAAGAGACAACAAGACCAUCAGCAUAGAGACUGUCUGUUUCUAUACAAUCGUUUACAUGUCUGAAACAGCUGUUAGUCUUAACGCUUAAAAUGUACACUGCUAAAACUGAUCUGCCCAUUUUCCACUACGACAAUCACUAAAGGGUCCUCUUUUUUUAACUGACUAUUUUUCUGGUCAAAAACAGAGGUACCACUUUGUCCAUGGGGGGCGCCAAAAUAGACAGAAACAAAAAGGUCCUUAUAGGAGCUUUAAAGUAGAUUUUUCCUUUACAAAAGUGACCAGAUACAUGUUUUAGAUUUUGUACUAGAUCUUUUUCCUGUAGUCAAGAUGAACGAGAUUUGCAGAAAAUAUGAAUAAGGAAGGGAGGAUAAUUGAAUUAUGUGUGUACACCACAUCAAAUGAAUUUUAAUGUUCUUUUUUUAUGAAUGCCGAAUGAUGAAAUAAAGGAGUCAGAAAAUUUCAA